UUGGAGGGCAAGUCUGGUGCCAGCAGCCGCGGUAAUUCCAGCUCCAUAGCGUAUAUUAAAGUUGUUGCAGUUAAAAAGCUCGUAGUUGAAUUUCGGGAUCAAUAUUUCGGUCAUGCCGUUGGUAUGCACUGUUAUCAUUGAUUUCUCACCUUCUAAAGAACCGUAAUGCCAUUAAUUUGGUGUUACGGGGAAUUAGGACUGUUACCUUGAAAAAAUUAGAGUGUUUAAAGCAGGCUCACGCUUGAAUACAUUAGCAUGGAAUAAUGAAAUAGGACAUCCGAUUCUAUUUUGUUGGUUUCUAGGAUCGAUGUAAUGAUUAAUAGGGAUAGUUGGGGGCAUUAGUAUUCAAUUGUCAGAGGUUGAAAUUCUUGGAUUUAUUGAAGACUAACUACUGCCAAAGCAUUUGCCAAGGAUGUUUUCAUUAAUCAAGAACGAAAGUUAGGGAUCGAAGACGAUCAGAUACCGUCGUAGUCUUAACCAUAAACUAUGCCGACUAGGGAUCGGAUGAUGUUAAUUUUUUAAUGACUCAUUCGGCGCCUUACGGGAAACA
rnacentral:rRNA from 1 species